rnacentral:rRNA from 1 species
GGUGGGGUAACGGCUCACCUAGGCGACGAUCCCUAGCUGGUCUGAGAGGAUGACCAGCCACACUGGAACUGAGACACGGUCCAGACUCCUACGGGAGGCAGCAGUGGGGAAUAUUGCACAAUGGGCGCAAGCCUGAUGCAGCCAUGCCGCGUGUAUGAAGAAGGCCUUCGGGUUGUAAAGUACUUUCAGCGGGGAGGAAGGGAGUAAAGUUAAUACCUUUGCUCAUUGACGUUACCCGCAGAAGAAGCACCGGCUAACUCCGUGCCAGCAGCCGCGGUAAUACGGAGGGUGCAAGCGUUAAUCGGAAUUACUGGGCGUAAAGCGCACGCAGGCGGUUUGUUAAGUCAGAUGUGAAAUCCCCGGGCUCAACCUGGGAACUGCAUCUGAUACUGGCAAGCUUGAGUCUCGUAGAGGGGGGUAGAAUUCCAGGUGUAGCGGUGAAAUGCGUAGAGAUCUGGAGGAAUACCGGUGGCGAAGGCGGCCCCCUGACGAAGACUACG